GGAUAAAACUUGGCUUUUCGUGGACAAGGACCGUGAUCCAGGAGUUAAAUCGCUCCUUUUAAGGCCGUUCUCUCCCAGCCCUGUGAGAAGAGGUAAUUUUGCAAAUUAGCCCAAGAACCCUAAAUGAGUUAACCCCUGUGAAGCAGGAGUACGUCUCGCUCCACCACCAAAGGUUUAGGCCUGCACGUUCCAGACCCUUCUGCUGCCUUCUCCCUCUGGGCCUGUUCACGUCACUCCAGCUCUUCUCCAAGGAGCCGGCUGGGUCUGGCCGGAGACGCUGCCAGCUCCACGGAGCCGUCAGCCUUCAGAGCAGCACCUUGGGCCAGGAAACACGGACAGGGGGAGUUCUGUGUGCGACUAAUGGACCCCAGAUAGAGCCACUCUUCAGUCACUGCCGUCACUUGAAAAUGCAUUUCCAGUUGACAAUAGCCGUCUGCCUAUAGAUAGCUCCACGCAAGAUGGCUGGUCAGGCUGCUCUCCCAGAUGCCUGGGUCAGCAAUUUCCAAAGCAUCCAGUCAGCAGUUCCUGCUUCCUCCAGCAAAGUCUGGCUCUCUCCUCCCAUCUCCCAGUCCCAGGACAGGGUCCGGGCCUAGAGGGGACAGUGGCCGCCCCAAUCCGUUGCCAACAGCAGGCCCCUCUCUCUGCGCUGCCUCCAGGCCCCCAGGACAGGUGACUUGGACCGCGCGGCCCUGGGGCAUAUGCAGCCUGGCUGGGCGGUGCUGA
rnacentral:lncRNA from 1 species